CUCGGCGAGAAGUAAUUCCGCAGUCGAUUUCCUUCACGCCAUGCUUCCGGGCGCGACCUCUUCUUCUCCUUCGUUCAACGUAAUUACGGCGGACGACAUCUUGUACUGUGACUUAUUGAUACCCGACAAUGUUGACUGAUACCUUAUUCAAUUUUGUGUGUUAUAUCGCGUUGGUUAUAUUUAACUUCGAAUGUCAACGAAUGUAUUCCUGUUACAGGGAUUUAAUGGGAGAAAGAUGGGAAGCAUAGAAGAACAAACGCAGAUCUUUAUUCUCGAAGCAGC